rnacentral:rRNA from 1 species
AACGAACGCUGGCGGCAGGCCUAACACAUGCAAGUCGAGCGAAGCCUUCGGGCUUAGCGGCGGACGGGUGAGUAACGCGGGGGAACGUGCCCUUUGGUACGGAAUAGCCCCGGGAAACGGGGAGUAAUACCGUAUGUGGUCGAGAGACGAAAGAUUUAUCGCCAAAGGAGCGGCCCGCGUUGGAUUAGGUAGUUGGUGGGGUAAUGGCCUACCAAGCCGACGAUCCAUAGCUGGUUUGAGAGGAUGAUCAGCCACACCGGGAGUGAGACACGGCCCAGACUCCUACGGGAGGCAGCAGUGGGGAAUCUUAGACAAUGGGGGAAACCCUGAUCUAGCCAUGCCGCGUGAUCGAUGAAGGCCUUAGGGUUGUAAAGAUCUUUCAGUGGGGAAGAUAAUGACUGUACCCACAGAAGAAGCCCCGGCUAACUCCGUGCCAGCCGCCGCCGUAAUAC